GGAGACGUGGCGCAAUGGAUAGCGCAUCAAACUUCGGAUCUGAGGGUUGUGGGUUCGAGUCCCAUCGUCUUCG
rnacentral:tRNA from 1 species